UGUAUGCUGUAUUGCUGCAUGGAAUGUGGUCAACUUAGGCAGCUUGACUCCACAGCAUGGACUUUGAAACAUGGAUGUUUAAACAAAGAGAAUGGAAAAUCUAUUCCCGCUUUCCUGAAAAUCCAAUGGAAACCAGAAAGACAUUAACAUCUAUGCACGAAUGAUUAAACAUCAUGCUUAUCAGUCAUGCCUGUCUGUUACAGAAAAUUCAAGCUUGAAUAGCA